rnacentral:RNase_P_RNA from 1 species
UGAGCAGUUCUGGUAACCGCUGCGGUGUCGUGUACGCGAUACCGGGGAGGAAAGUCCGGGCUCCACAGGGCAGGAUGCCGGGUAACGCCCGGUCGGCGCGAGCUGAAGGAAAGUGCCACAGAAAACAAACAGCCCGUAUCGGCAGGUGUCCAACAGGCGAAAAGAGCCGCGUUGAAUUCUUGUUCGUUAGGGUCAAGGUGAAAAGGUAGGGUAAGAGCCUACCGGAUACGGUGUAAAUCGUAUGCCUGGCAAACCCCAUCCGGAGCAAGAUCGAAUAGAGGGGGGAGAGGUUGCCCGCUGACCCCUGGGUCGAUCGCUUGAGGGACGCCGCGAGGCGUUUCGGAGAUAAAUGGUUACCUGAACACAGAACCCGGCUUACGAACUGCUCAUUUU